CCUACGGGAGGCUGCAGUGGGGAAUAUCGGACAAUGGGGGCAACCCUGAUCCAGCCAUGCCGCGUGUGUGAAGAAGGCCCUCGGGUUGUAAAGCACUUUCAGUGAGGAAGAACGCCUGGUGGUUAAUACCCAUCAGGAAAGACAUCACUCACAGAAGAAGCACCGGCUAACUCCGUGCCAGCAGCCGCGGUAAUACGGAGGGUGCGAGCGUUAAUCGGAAUUACUGGGCGUAAAGCGCGCGUAGGUGGCUUGAUAAGCCGGUUGUGAAAGCCCCGGGCUCAACCUGGGAACGGCAUCCGGAACUGUCAAGCUAGAGUGCAGGAGAGGAAGGUAGAAUUCCCGGUGUAGCGGUGAAAUGCGUAGAGAUCGGGAGGAAUACCAGUGGCGAAGGCGGCCUUCUGGACUGACACUGACACUGAGGUGCGAAAGCGUGGGUAGCAAACAGGAUUAGAUACCCCGGUAGUC
rnacentral:rRNA from 1 species